rnacentral:rRNA from 1 species
UACGUAGGGUGCAAGCGUUAAUCGGAAUUACUGGGCGUAAAGCGUGCGCAGGCGGUGAUGUAAGACAGUUGUGAAAUCCCCGGGCUCAACCUGGGAACUGCAUCUGUGACUGCAUCGCUGGAGUGCGGCAGAGGGGGAUGGAAUUCCGCGUGUAGCAGUGAAAUGCGUAGAUAUGCGGAGGAACACCGAUGGCGAAGGCAAUCCCCUGGGCCUGCACUGACGCUCAGGUGCGAAAGCCAGGGGAGCGAACGGG